rfam:Streptomyces griseus subsp. griseus NBRC 13350 DNA, complete genome.
UCGGCCCCGGUUCACGGCCGCGCAAUCCGCGCGGACGACCCGGCGCC